rnacentral:lncRNA from 1 species
GAACACGCUUUACAAAGCAUUGUAAAAUCAUGCUCAAUUACGUUGGUUGGGCUGCCACCACAGUCACAGCUGUAGUGGGCAACAUAUUUCCCGGUACACCGUUGUACCCUCAACGCCGACAUAUUGGGUACACCUGGUUUUUCCUUGUCAACCCACGUGGCCACAACCUAUUGGUGGUAGUGGUACUGUGGCAGAGGGGCAGGCCUCUCUUGCGUUUUUUCUGACGGGAGAAGACAAAACUCACUAGAUUUUACUAUUAAAGCUUUGCCUUUUUAGCCACUUCGGUUGUCGUGUAAUUUUGUUUUUAAUUUAUAUCUUACAUGUUAAAUGUGUGACAGAAGGACAAAGAAUAGUUAAUGUUACGACAUUGUGAAUAAAAAUAUUUGGGGAUAAAUUAGAAGAUUAAGGAUGGUGCAAGUGUCAUGGCAAUAAUUAUGGUUUCAUAUUAUGUUCUACAAUGUCGUCAUGACAUCCCAUUUGAUACUGUAGAUGGAACCUGAGCUUUGAGAUGAGAAGUGUUCGAGGGUGGAUCGUAAAGGACAAACAUUAAGUAAAAGCAAUGAGUGAGUAACAUGGCGUUAAGUCAUGAGCGAACGAGAUCAAAAGAAAUGGUGAUUCCAUGCAAUGAGUUGGGACAACGAUCAACUCAUGUGUAAGGCAAGUGUGUUUGGAGAAUGCUACGGGAUGACCUUGGAGUGUCAGGUAAGAAAUGUGUCCCUAUUUCAAACAUUUUAAUGUCUUUUUUGGAC